GUUACUAUAUCCUUGUGUGGUAAUGUUUGAUCUGUGAAACUCUAAGCGGUGUAUGAAUAUUUGAAGUGCGGCGCAGUUUUCAAUGGAAGGCAUUUACCUAUGAAUGAAAUGAUUUUCUCGAGUCCAGUGUGUGAAGCUUUAUGAUGUUGGAUAACAAGAAUAAUGGUUCUACAUUCUGUUUGGAAAAGACAACAGUAAUAUCGACUAUCUCUUCAGCAUAUGUUGCUUUCUUUCUCGAGAGACUAAUAUAUUUAUUUGGCAAUUAGUCAAAGGACGGCUGGCGAAACCUGAAUUUCUCUGUAGCCAGUAAAAACAUUCAACUUCAGCAUGCAUUGUUAAAUUCUGGAAAUUGUGGUUAUCCAAUAAUUUAUCCACCAUCCUUGAUAAAUCCUUCAUCGGAAAAGAUCGUACAAUAUGGCUGCUACAAAGAUCUAAACAUAAUGAAAAAUACAAGAAUCGUCUUUCCUUGUCGAAAAACGGAUGACCCUGACUGUUCAGUACCGAAAGGUCGACAUUUGUGUUCUUGCACUCCUUCCAAUAAACAGAAAGCUGAUUUAUAAAAUUCAUCAAUUUUGCUGACAAAUAUUACAAUGGACGGAAUAUGAUUCAUAUUGCUGACAAUGGAUACUUGAAAGAACAUUACAACAAUAACCAUUCAGAUUCUAGAAGAGAUUUUCCUGGAGCCUUCGAAUUUCUAAGUUUUACCAAGUCUUGGAUUCAUCACAUGCAAGCCACUUCCAAUUUCACAGAACCUGGGACGUAAAUGCUUUGUAAAUAAGCCUAAAUGAAAAAUUGGCUUAUCAUGGGUGAUAUUUCUCAUUUAAAUUGUCUAUAAAAUUUCGGAAAGCAUUUUAAAUAUUUUUGGAGCAAGUUCAUAACCCUUUUUUUCAAUAAUCAUUCAAAAUAAUAAGGAUUGUAGAGCUGUAUCUCGGAAAUUCUGCGAAUAUACAUGUGCCCGCAAAAUCAGUUUGCUAUCUAGCAUAGAAUGAACAUAAAUGAACAUUUAUGCAUCAAAGAUCUUUAUGAAACUUGAAAUUUUAUUAUUCGAGUUACGAAACUGAAGCAAAGCCUGGAGUAUAUAAUUUAAAGCUGCAACUGAGCGUGCAUUAGAAUGAAAAUGAAACUUAAAUCUAGCUAUUCUUAAUCUAAUUUUGAAUCUUAAAGUAUGCAGAUACAACAAAAGAUUUGUCGAACUCUUCGGUAUUGCAUAGAGUAAUAUCUGAAUUUUGAUCACAGAAUAUUAGACAUAAAUCAUUACAAUACAGUAAUGUUUAAGAUUGAAUUUGCACAUGAAUGCUUCUGCUGUUUUGAUAUCAAAUGCAUUUCACAUGCACAUGGUUAGACAUAUCUUUUUAUAUCAAUGUCUUUCGAGUAUAACUCGGUAGGAGUUUGCAGUUCGUGCAGCAUAUACAUAAAUAACUUUUACCCAAAUGCAUAUAUUAUAAUGGAUAUAAAAUAAGCUUGUUAUCCUAUGUCUAGUUAUCCUAUUUAAGCAGCUGAAAUUACCUGGUCGAAAUCUAUGCAAAUCAAUCAAUCAAUCAUGAAUAUCGGGUGAGAAUUUCGUGAUAAGUUAUAGUAGGGUCUUAUCUAAUUUUAGCGCCUUUGAGCUCACGCAUAACAAACUGGAUUUAGAGUUAUUAACUUCGAAUACGAAGCGCGUUAACAGUCAACGUAGUUGCGUAAUUUAAGAAGAAACUCCAAUCGGAUACAUUUUCUGAGCUUCCGUAACCUUGCAGGUGUUAAAAUUGGAUUUGGUUGUAAAUUUAAUUUAAAGCUUUAGUGCGGGUGAAAUCUCUGUGUAUUUAGAUUAAUUCCAAGUUAAAUAUGAAAGGUUGAAAACAAUCGGAUUUUUCCCGUGUUGAAAGUAUGAAGAUAAGUUUCUUAAGAAAUUGGGUUCACGCUCAAAUGGGAUAACUUAUAAAAAUAAUGGGAACACAAUCAUUAAUAGUGAAAGCGUCUAUCAUCUGUACGGCCAGUAAAACGAGUUCAAACAUUCAACUUUCUCGGAAAUGAUUAACAUUUUACAGAACUAACAUGCGACCAUAUUAAUUUCCGUUAUCUUUUUUUUAUUUUGCAUCAAUAAACUGGGACGUGUUUUUUCUCAUAAAUGGGUGUGCUAAGUAUCUUAACAUUAGAUUAGAAAUAGGUUAUUGGAGGGAUAAAUUACAUCUUGAGAUAAGAUGUUGGGAGAAAAAGCUAAGAUGGGUCAUGUGAACAACCUUCCCCAUUUCGAGAAAAGUAGAGGUCGGGAUGGGUACCAGCCGGCUGGUAAGAGGAGGGAAUGCGAUUGUUGAAUAGUUUAUCCACCUCAACACCAACCUCUUGUACGUUCUAAAGAAACUUGUCUUAUACUUUCAGCCUUAGAAACAUAAGUUCGAAUUAUAAAAAACAGUAAUGAAUAAAUUAACCACUUCCCAUUUCCUAUCGCUGAUAUGAGAAUUCAUAUUUUCGUUAAUCAGUUCAAAAAUUUAAUUUUUCUACAAUUUUUAAUAAAUUUGAUUAAAUCGAUUGAAUGUAAAUAAAGAGAAUCUUGGCGAAUUGUCUUUCUAAGUUAAAUAUUUAAAACUUGAUUUCUGUAGGAACCCCGUGUGUAUUUUAAACGGCAGAUUAAGAACAUUCAUUCGAGAAUAAAAUGGCUAGUUGGUAUUAUGCAACCAAAUCUAAUUGCUUCAUUAAAUUGCCCCUUUUUUCUAUUUAAGAAAAUACCUUGCUAAGCAUGCUUGUAAUUCCAUACUUGAAAUACUCAAUCAAAUGCAGAAAAACAAAUCCAAUUAAAUUUUAUUGUCCGAAAUUAAACAAUAAGGAUGCUUUCUAUUCCAACAUAGGUUAAUCUAGUUAAUUGGAUUUCUGCUGUUUCGCAAAGACCUACAUUUUUAAAAUGCUACAUUACCGAAUCCUUUAUUCUUUCCUUAAUCAAAUAAAAAUGCGACUACAAAAAUGAGGCUUCGAGGAAACCGAUUUCGCUUUGUAAUGCUGUAACAGAUACUUAAUAUAAAAUCCAUGUAAAACAUUAUUGAAAUUAUAACUCGUGGAAACCAAUGCUAUUAUUAUCCUCAAUGGAGCCUUUGCAUUUUUUAAAGACUUCUCGCAAUUUAGUUUUUAAUUUCAAACUAUAGUGCAAAUUAAAGUGGUUUGUUAUUUUGGUUAAAUAUAUAAAUUUUUUGAAAGCUCGAUGAACGUAAGGCUAUGUUUAGUUUUCUUCUAAACUAGUUCCUGAAGAGUUCACGAUUUCAUCCAAAACCAUUUCCAUUGUAUGAACUUCAAUGCAUGAUUUUACAUUUACCUGGUUAGGAAACUGAAAUGAAUGACUAUGUUCUCCUGUGCGAUCAGAUACAUGUAUAAUUCCCUAAUUUAAUACAUGUACACUGAAGAAAUUCGAUUAGAGCUUUGAGAAGAUGACUACGAAAUUUUAGACUAGCAUUAUACAAACCUAUUCACAAUGUAUAAAUGUUAAUUGAAGACAAUAUCGUAUGUGGGCAUAUAUUUUAAAUGCGUUGUUUAAUUCAGAGCAGACUUUCGGCUCAUAAAUUGACUAAAUUUCCUCUCAUACGAUUGUUUGAAAAACGAAAGAGGAAGUACGAAAAAUAUCCAAACUGAAUGAUGGAACAGGAAGAAUAAGAAUAUUCAUCGUGAAGAUUUCUGUGUUCAAAAUUGUUAUUUAUAACUGCUAUACAAAAUAAACAAUAAAAGAUACAACAAAAUGGCUUAUUUGCAAUAUUUCUGAAAAAUAAUAUAUUAAACUUUCAAGUAAAACCAUGCAAUAUUAGGCUUUUCGCUACUCUCCAGGCUAAAAGCUCCUGAAAUUUACUUAUUAAUCAGUUCCGAGAGGGGAUUAAAUACAUUACAAGAUCUAACGGAAAAUAACAAUUUUUGAGUUGGAGUUUAAUAAAUUCAUGGAAAUGUGGAAUUUCAGUCAUGACUAUUGAGCUACCAUUUGAACACUUCUCGUUAUUGUUAACAGCCCGUUUUGCGAAAUAUCUUGAAAUUUACAUCAAGCGUGAAAAAUGUAGUUAAUAGCAAUUAAAUCAAACAUUCCAGAAAUUGAUACACAAGUUUUUUUAGCUUAAUUCGACUUACGUUGAGCAGUGCGAAAGGAAUUCGAAUGUCUGAACAUUAAUUUAAGCUUGUUAAAUCUUUGUAUUCAACAUACUUGGUUCUGUUGAAUUUAGAAAAGCUUAAAGUUUACUGUAUUCAAAAGGGUUAGUGAACUGCUCCAUUACUUAAUAUCAUUUGAUUGCAUGUUGUAUAGUUCUGUUGUUGAAAUGGUAAUCUAGCUUCUACUUCAUAGUAUUUAUUUUAUGAUCUUAAUUUAAGUUUUUCCUAUGCAACAUCAAUGCUUAUUAAAUGUCAAAUCUAUAAUCUGUGCAAUCUGUACUUUAUUAUAUCCAAUGGAACAUCAAGUAGAUUUUACUUGUAAAUUGCAAACUUAAAUUUCCUGAAAUUAUCUGUUAGAACAAGGCAAAAAUUUCUUACCAAUGUAUAAUCUUGCAUAAAAUGCUUAAACUGAGCAUGGAAAGGCUGGGUGAUUGUAUAUCGAUUCAAGUUUUAACUUAAAAUAAGCGAGAUUCAUCUUCGUGUGAAUUCAUGCAAA